CCUACGGGAGGCAGCAGUGGGGAAUAUUGGACAAUGGGGGGAACCCUGAUCCAGCCAUGCCGCGUGUGUGAAGAAGGCCCUCGGGUUGUAAAGCACUUUCAGUGAGGAAGAACGCCUGGUGGUUAAUACCCAUCAGGAAAGACAUCACUCACAGAAGAAGCACCGGCUAACUCCGUGCCAGCAGCCGCGGUAAUACGGAGGGUGCGAGCGUUAAUCGGAAUUACUGGGCGUAAAGCGCGCGUAGGUGGCUUGAUAAGCCGGUUGUGAAAGCCCCGGGCUCAACCUGGGAACGGCAUCCGGAACUGUCAAGCUAGAGUGCAGGAGAGGAAGGUAGAAUUCCCGGUGUAGCGGUGAAAUGCGUAGAGAUCGGGAGGAAUUCCAGUGGCGAAGGCGGACUUCUGGACUGACACUGACACUGAGGUGCGAAAGCGUGGGUAGCAAACAGGAUUAGAUACCCCUGUAGUC
rnacentral:rRNA from 1 species